rnacentral:rRNA from 1 species
AGAGUUUGAUNNUGGCUCAGAUUGAACGCUGGCGGCAGGCCUAACACAUGCAAGUCGAGCGGUAGCACAGAGAGCUUGCUCUCGGGUGACGAGCGGCGGACGGGUGAGUAAUGUCUGGGAAACUGCCUGAUGGAGGGGGAUAACUACUGGAAACGGUAGCUAAUACCGCAUAACGUCGCAAGACCAAAGUGGGGGACCUUCGGGCCUCAUGCCAUCAGAUGUGCCCAGAUGGGAUUAGCUAGUAGGUGGGGUAACGGCUCACCUAGGCGACGAUCCCUAGCUGGUCUGAGAGGAUGACCAGCCACACUGGAACUGAGACACGGUCCAGACUCCUACGGGAGGCAGCAGUGGGGAAUAUUGCACAAUGGGCGCAAGCCUGAUGCAGCCAUGCCGCGUGUGUGAAGAAGGCCUUCGGGUUGUAAAGCACUUUCAGCGGGGAGGAAGGCGAUGAGGUUAAUAACCUCAUCGAUUGACGUUACCCUGCAGAAGAAGCACCGGCUAACUCCGUGCCAGCAGCCGCGGUAAUACGGAGGGUGCAAGCGUUAAUCGGAAUUACUGGGCGUAAAGCGCACGCAGGCGGUCUGUCAAGUCGGAUGUGAAAUCCCCGGGCUCAACCUGGGAACUGCAUUCGAAACUGGCAGGCUAGAGUCUUGUAGAGGG